CUCACACACAGACCUAAAAUGAAAAGGAAAAAAAAAAACUUAAAACCUUUUCAGCGUACACUAUAAUGCCUGUAAUUGUAUUUAUUGCUUUUCAUUGUGUAAUACUUAUCAUAUAGAAACGUACAGUUGUUUUUUCACCUGUGUAACCCACAGGGGGAAGCAAGAUCAAAAGCGCGCUACCUGCCAAAUCGUCGCAUUGGGCUUGACUUGCGCGACACAGCUCAAAAUGGAGCGAGCGAAAGAAAGGGAGAGAGAGUGAGAAAACGCGAGUGAGAAUGUGUGGGUGUGUAUGUUAGAGAGAGUGCUUAAAAUCGGACACUGGAGCGCGCCUGCAUUGAGUACAAGACAGAGAGAGAAGAGAGAAGGAAAGAUGAGGAGGAGAAGGUUGAGGAGGAAAGGAGCUUAUUAUUCAAGCGUGCUGUAGUCAGGCGGACUGCACAAGGAGAACAAAAAGUCUGUGGGUCAAUCAUAGCCUGAGUGCUUAAGUAGUGCUUAUUCUCUUGUUUUUCAGGGGACGCCCAUGGGAGAAAAAGGGGGAGACCCCCUUAUAGGGGACCUGGCACCUGACAGCAUUCGGCUUUCUGACUAGAAGCUUCAGACCGGUUUCCUCUUGCAACAUGUGCUACCAAGCAAUGCACACAACAACAAAAAAAGAAGAUGGGAGACACAAGUGGAAUUAAUGAGGUUCAUGCGUUCCAGUAACCAUGAGUAUGUCAGUGUUGUUAGUAUGGGGACUACAGGUGGGACAGUCAUCACCUCUACUUUAAAGCACACAUUGUUUCAUUUGCUUUUAAAUUAGUUUGUUCAUGGUCUUAAUUCUAAUUAAUGUGACCCAUCAGUGAACAACUGCAACACAACCUGUCAUCACUCAUCACUGUGUUUCAUGCUAAUACUAAUGGAAUUAGUGCGUUUUAAGGCAUUUUAUGCACCAGAGCGUUACAUGAUUUUUUUGCCAGGCUGCAAGUCGUAUAUUAACUUAAAUCUACCUGAGGCAUAUUUUGUAAUUUAGUUUCUAUUUUCUGUUACAUUAAGUCUGUCAGAAAGUGUCUGGAUUCUGUGUCAUUAUUGUUAUUAUUAUUAUUAUUUUAAUACUGUCUUGAUUGAUCAUUGAUUCAUGUAUUAUCAUGAAAAGUUCAUGUCAAUGGACAUGUUUUCUAAAAAAAUAAACUCUGUGUAUUCAGCCAGA